GAGGGUAUAAUUCAGUGUUAGAGCACAUGCUUAGCAUGCAAAGGUCCUGGGUUCAAUCCCCAGUGCCUCCA
rnacentral:tRNA from 1 species